UACGGGAGGCAGCAGUAGGGAAUCUUCGGCAAUGGACGAAAGUCUGACCGAGCAACGCCGCGUGAGUGAAGAAGGUUUUCGGAUCGUAAAACUCUGUUGUUAGAGAAGAACAAGGAUGAGAGUAAAAUGUUCAUCCCUUGACGGUAUCUAACCAGAAAGCCACGGCUAACUACGUGCCAGCAGCCGCGGUAAUACGUAGGUGGCAAGCGUUGUCCGGAUUUAUUGGGCGUAAAGCGAGCGCAGGCGGUUUCUUAAGUCUGAUGUGAAAGCCCCCGGCUCAACCGGGGAGGGUCAUUGGAAACUGGGAGACUUGAGUGCAGAAGAGGAGAGUGGAAUUCCAUGUGUAGCGGUGAAAUGCGUAGAUAUAUGGAGGAACACCAGUGGCGAAGGCGGCUCUCUGGUCUGUAACUGACGCUGAGGCUCGAAAGCGUGGGGAGCGAACAGGAUUAGAUACCCUGGUAGUCCACGCCGUAAACGAUGAGUGCUAAG
rnacentral:rRNA from 1 species